UACGUAGGGUGCAAGCGUUGUCCGGAAUUAUUGGGCGUAAAGAGCUCGUAGGCGGUUUGUCGCGUCGAAUGUGAAAACCCGGGGCUCAACUCCGGGCCUGCAUUCGAUACGGGCAGACUAGAGUUCGGUAGGGGAGACUGGAAUUCCUGGUGUAGCGGUGAAAUGCGCAGAUAUCAGGAGGAACACCGGUGGCGAAGGCGGGUCUCUGGGCCGAUACUGACGCUGAGGAGCGAAAGCGUGGGGAGCGAACGGG
rnacentral:rRNA from 1 species